AGAAGUUGUUGAGAUUUAGCCAGGAAGAAAUUAGAGAGAGAUAACCUGGACUUUAAGGAAGAGAUCUGCAAAGAGUUUUCUUAGAUCUGUAAUGUAGAUCUCCUGAGACAGUUAAUCGAGUGACUUGAUAAAUAUACAGCACCUCUCCUGAAACUCUACAGAAAAAGAAGGGAUUCAAUGGGUCCAGAGAUGGAUACAACUUUAAACAAGAUGGAUGAGCAGGUCACUGAUAUUGUCACCGAUCGAGAAAGA